UCGAGGAUCAUUCGCAAUGGGGGAAACCCUGACGAUGCGACGCUGCGUGGAGGAUGAAGGCCCUCGGGUUGUAAACUCCUGUCAUGAGGGGAGAGGCGGAGGCGGCGAACAGCCGCCCGAGUUGACGGUACCUCAAGAGGAAGCCACGGCUAACUCUGUGCCAGCAGCCGCGGUAAUACAGAGGUGGCGAGCGUUGUUCGGAUUUACUGGGCGUAAAGGGCGCGUAGGCGGCGCGGUGUGUCGGGUGUGAAAUCCAUGGGCUCAACCCAUGAAGUGCGCCCGAAACUGCCGCGCUCGAGUUCGGGAGGGGGGAUCGGAAUGCAGGGUGUAGCGGUGAAAUGCGUUGAUAUCCUGCAGAACACCGGAGGCGAAGGCGGAUCCCUGGAACGACACUGACGCU
rnacentral:rRNA from 1 species